UACAGAGGGUGCGAGCGUUAAUCGGAAUUACUGGACGUAAAGCGCGCGUAGGCGGCUUUGCAAGUCGGGUGUGAAAUCCCCAGGCUUAACCUGGGAACUGCAUUCGAGACUGCAUUGCUAGAGUAUGGGAGAGGGAAGUGGAAUUUCCGGUGUAGCGGUGAAAUGCGUAGAUAUCGGAAGGAACAUCAGUGGCGAAAGCGACUUCCUGGACCAAUACUGACGCUCAUGUGCGAAAGCGUGGGGAGCAAACAGG
rnacentral:rRNA from 1 species